rnacentral:rRNA from 1 species
CUGGGCUAGAAUGCCUCUGACAACCCUAGAGAUAGGGCCUUCUGGGUAAAACCAGACGGAGUGCAAGGUGCUGCAUGGCUGUCGUCAGCCCGUGUCGUGAGAUGUUGGGUUAAGUCCCGCAACGAGCGCAACCCUUAUCAAUAGUUGCCAGCGGUUCGGCCGGGCACUCUAUUGAGACUGCCGUUGACAAAACGGAGGAAGGUGGGGGAUGACGUCAAGUCCUCAUGGCCUUUAUGUCCAGGGCUACACACGUGCUACAAUGGCAAGUACAAAGCGCUGCAAACCUGCAAGGGGGAGCCAAUCGCAAAAAGCUUGUCUCAGUUCGGAUUGGAGUCUGCAACUCGACUCCAUGAAGCUGGAAUCGCUAGUAAUCGCANAUCANCAUGCUGCGGUGAAUACG